UUGGUUUUGUGUGAAUUUUCACAAUAAUUCUCAAAAAACUGGAGGGACUGAUAUAAUUGGGCAGUGAACAGAUAAAAGCUGCAUUGAGUUGACUGAUAACAUAAUAUUUAAGCACACUUAGUGUUCAGUUAGGAAUCUAGAGGCCACAUAAAAAGCUGUGGCGGGCCGGAUUUGGCCCACGGACCUCAAGUUUGACACACGCAAUCUAAAGAUUUUUU